ensembl:lncRNA
CCUCCUUGUCCCAGCUAAAGCAGUUUCUUUCAUAGAGUCAUUUGAGGUUGGAAAGGAUCUCUAAGAUCAUCCAGUCCAUCCAUCCAUCCAUCCACCUACCACCACUGCUGCCAUACACUGCAUCCCUCAGUACCAUACCUACCCUUUUCCUUGCACACUUCCAGCAUCAAACCAAACCCCCAAAAGGCAUCAUGUUCAACUUGUCAGUAACAAACAAAACCAAACCACGUUUAUUCUCAUUCUGUUUUAAAUAUCAUUGCCCUUAAACAUCGCGUCACACCAGAAUGUUGGCUCGGCCUUAUGUCAGCCCUUCCUUUAUGUAAGUCUUCCUUUCCCCUCCCCGUUGAAAUUACUGAGAACCCAACCCAAGCUUUCAGUUGACAAUCCCAGUCACAGCAAUGUGCUGUUGUAGCCACGGCCAUCCUUAAUGUGCAGGAAGCAAUGCAGCUCAGCAGGUUCUUUGAAGCUCUGGGCUCAUAUCCAUCCUUGCUGCAAGAGAAGGUGCUCUCAGAGUGGUUCAAUCAGAGAGAGAUUGGAUUAUCCAACCUGCCUGGUUCAGCACACUCCCACUGCCCCAGCAGGGUCCUCUGGUGCAGCACUGGGCAGAACAUCAGUGCUUGCUGAUGCACUGCAGCGCUUAACGAGCAAACCUUCCAACUGUGGAAGAAUUACUGCUCCACGCGCAGCAGCCCAGCAUUGGUUUGGAUGGUGGGUUGGGUUUUUGGUACUUUUUCUGCAGGGAAAGAGGGAAACCGGCCUUGGUUAUCUGUUGUGUGGAUCAAAACGUAGCAUUGGAUCACCUCCCAAUGGCACAAGCAGUAGAACAGCCUGGGCUGGUGCUUAAGGCUGGGGAUGCUGCUCACGGCUGCCGAGUGCUGCUCACUUUUGUGUUUUCCAGCAGCACCCGUGGCUGAACCAUCCCAAAAACAGCACUCAAAUUCCGCAUAGCGACAGAUGGACAACUGAGGGAAGUAGAAAGGGAUGUUACCAAAACCAGACAGCCUCUGCCUGGUAUCUUAAAUGUUGGUGGUCAAGGUUUAGGAGAUGUAAUACCUUCACGCCUAAAGCACACAGCAUGCUGCUCUGCUGUGGCUUAGUGGUUGGUCGCCACUCAUCUGCAGCAGCUUUCAGCCAUCCUAUAAAGCUGCAGUUCUUUAGUUAUCUCAAGAGAAAUGUAUGGCAGGAUUGUGACCAGCAGCCAGCAUUUCCUUAAGGAAGGUGGGCCCGGGCUUGCAUCUCUGCGUUGUGUUUCCCUUCGUUGCAAUGGAAAAAGGCUCCAUGGAAUGACUAACAGCGGUUCCCAGCUCUCGGGCAGCCCGAUGGGAUACGGCACAGCUGAAUAGCAGUGAGAGCAGCCCGUGCCAGACGUGGCAUCCCCGCAGCACCGGUCAAGAGACAAAAGCCUUUAGUGUUCCGCAAAAGAAUUUAAAACAUUUUACAUCAAACGGCUGCAGAAGUUCAAACAUGUCACUGCUGGCCCAUGGCACGGGCUGGGACGGGGGGGGGGAGGAUAGCACAGGGCAGAGCGUGGGUUGCACGGAUGAUUUUUGAGCUCUCCGUACACCUCCUGUGUGUGAUCGAUGCUCUCCAUGCGAGGAACAAGAAAUGCAACGAGCAGUGCUUUUGCAUCACCAAACAGAAGUUAAACGCUGCUCCCUAAAAUAGGAGCGGAGCCGUCGGCACCUCCCCAGCGUGGGUUCCCACUGCCCAGGGCUCCCAAACAGCUCCGGGUUAAAUGGCACCACUCCACAGCCCAGAGGGCAGUGAAAGGCCCUUUAUCCCCACUCCCUGUUUGUCUGAUCCCUCCCACAAGCCCUUCCUGUGCCUGGAUUCACACUGCCCGUGCCUUCUGUGGCCACGCCACAGCCUCACCUCUGAACGAGGCAUUGAUCUAAAUAUACCCAGUGUGCAAAGCAAGUGCUCUGUUCCCAGUGCCGUGUGGUUCCGGUGGCAUCUUCUCCCCCCUGCACUGUUCUUAUUUUGGCUAAUUAAAUUAGAACAGCCACUUUUUUUUUCUUUUUUUUUUUUUUAAUUUAAUUUCAUCGCCGUGCCAAUUUGCUUCAGUUUAUUUAGUAUUUUAAAGCAGCUUCCAUUUAAAUAUGGAAAGGAAGGAAAAUAAAUCUGCUGAAUGUAUUUCUGUUCAGCUCACAUGUUGUGGCUUUUCUCUGUUUGAAGGACGAGGUCUAAUUUUUGAACCUGAAUCCACUCGGCCUGGCGUCAGCAGCAUUGGGUUUCCUUUUGUUUUAAGCUCAUUCCCUUAUCCCAGCUGCUGCGCUGUGCUGAUGUCUGUGUGCCAACAGAGCCCCCCUGCAUCUCUUCGGGUUGAAACUGCUCAACUGAGCAAAGUUGAGUGCAUCCGUCAAUACUGGCGUUGCUUUUGGUCUCAUCUUUGCAAAGAGCUGCAGCACCCCUCCUGCUUUCCUCCUGGUCCCUUGCUCUGGGAAGAUGGGCCUUGGUGUCCUUGGGUUAGCCUGGCUCAUUUAGGGGUGAAAGAGAUGAUUAAAUACUCGUUGGUUUUGGAAGAGGUGGGAAAGAGCAGUGGGCUGCAAUGUGUAGUCAACAGCACGCAUCUCUCUCUCGAUUCUACACGUUUCUUUGCAAACUUAUAGGCUUUAUUUUAUAACUUAAGCACUUAGACUUGGCUAGAAUGUCUUUCUGAGCAAGGAAUGCAUGACUGAAAAACAUGCAAGAAACAGCUGGGGGGAAAAAGAUAGCUGAGAAAAUAGAGAUUUGAUGUGGUUUCCAACAAGUGUGAGUGCCUGUUGUCCCCAUAGUCACAGAGCUGCUCCGGGUAGGCUGGGUGGGCACCCAGGGCUGGCUGUGCAGGAGCUCCAUGCAGCUUUGUGUGAUUUGGCUGCUCGCUGCUGGACAGCUUCCCUGGAGGAAAGCAGGUCGUGAGGAUGCUGCUUAUUUAGCCCACUCAUAACACGGCUCAUUUCAGAUUCCUUGGUGCUCUAUUGUUGUUACUUAAAGCUUCAUCUAUUACAGCAAGAAAGCGACAUGCAGAUGCUUCAGAGCAAAGGUAUGAAUAAAAUCCUGUGCCUAUAGAAACUGGGAGAUGCAAAACCACAGCCCCUGCGUGCAAGCAUGGCUCAGCCAAAUGCACUUAUUAAAGAGGAGAAGUCCUCAGCACGCAUGGUAACAGAAGGCGUCAUGUAUGCAGGAGGUGUGAUUUAUGGACAAUCCACAGCUUUUGGCCACGUUCUGAGGUGACUUUUUUGAGUGAAACCCGCUUUGCUGAGUCAGGCCGGUGGGUCCUUGAGUUGCCCGCUGUGAGCAUGAGAGCGUUCCCCUGCCGCUCCAGGUUCAGGGACGCGGGUCAGCGGCUCUGUUUAUUCCGGGGGGGUACCCGAGGUCGGUGCGCACAACCAGCCGGAGGGGCUUUGGUUCUGCCGCUUCUUGAGCGCCUGGGGGGGACGUGGGGAGAGCCCCGGGGGGGCUCAGCUGCGAUGCUCAGCGCCGCGCCCGUUCCCUGCAGCCCCGUCCCCACCGGGGGAGCCCCGGUGCCCCCAUCCUCCCGUGCGGCACGGCAGCGCUGAACCUGCCCCUCGGAGGCUGGAUCUGUGCUCAUUAGCUGGUGUUUGCUGAAACCGGAUACCUGGGGCACCCCAGCCAGCGAGCGGAGUCCCCUGGCUGCAGCUAUUUAAAAGGACGAGGGCAGCCUUACCAUUUCCACCUCUUUCACAUCCAUGUCCCUCCCAGCGCCCGCUCCCAACCCAUCUCCUCUCCUGGAUCCCCGCAGCAUCAAUGACCCACGAGCGGAGCGACCCGCGGGGAACCUGCUGGUGUGCACACCGGGAAAGGAUUACCUGCUGAAUUCGGGGGGACCCCAGGCUCUGUGGGCACCCCUGAGCCUGGCAGGCACCCACUGGCUCCCAGCGCAGGAGAAACCUUGAGGCUGAAGGGGAAGGAGAAGUAGACGUUGUUGUAAGCUGCUGGGACAAAUGAAUGCCAACGAAGGUGGGGCUGCAAGGAGACGUUGCACAGCCUCUCGCCUCGCUGCAAAGUAAGUGCCCAAAGCAGAGCUGCUGUGUGAGAGGCAGGGCUGGGGGAGCCCGGGUGAAGGGGGAGGCAGGAGAGGGGCUGCCCACAGAGCUGAGGAUUUGCUCUGUCCUGGUGUUCUGCUCACAGCAGCCAGGGCUUGGGGUGUCCUGGCUUGUUGGAAAAGGAGGGGGCGAAGGGAUGCAGGUUUUACCCAUGCUGGCCAGCACGGAGUCCCCUCUCGUGGCACAGCUGGCUGAGUGACUUGGGAUCUGAUUUGCUCUGAUGGACUUUGUCUAAGAGAACUCCCCACCUCCCUGCCUUCCGGGCUUCUGUCACGUGGCGGUGGGAGAAGAGGGGUGCAGGGGUCCCCGUCCCUCCCUCCCCACGGCAGCAGCGCAAUGCAAGGAAAGACGCGGGUAGUCCUGCAGAUCUGAGCCCCUCUGUGUGCUCCCAUCCUCCUCCCC